GACGGAGGGUGCAAGUGUUAUCCGGAAUCACUGGGCGUAAAGCGUCUGUAGGUGGUUUAAUAAGUCAACUGUUAAAUCUUGAGGCUCAACCUCAAAAUCGCAGUCGAAACUAUUAGGCUAGAGUAUAGUAGGGGUAAAGGGAAUUUCCAGUGGAGCGGUGAAAUGCGUAGAGAUUGGAAAGAACACCGAUGGCGAAGGCACUUUACUGGGUGAUUACUAACACUCAGAGACGAAAGCUAGGGUAGCAAAUGGG
rnacentral:rRNA from 1 species